rnacentral:rRNA from 1 species
GACGAACGCUGGCGGCGUGCUUAACACAUGCAAGUCGAACGGGCCCGCCCCUGUUUUUGGGGGUGGGUUGAGUGGCGAACGGGUGAGUAUCACGUGAGUAACCUGCCCCCUGCUCCUGGAUAACUGCUUGAAAGGGCGGCUAAUACGGGGUGUGCCGGCUGGUCCGCAUGGGCCUGGUCGGGAUAGUUUCAUCUUCGGGUGUUUCGGUGGGGGAUGGGCUCGCGGCCUAUCAGCUUGUUGGUGGGGUGAUGGCCCACCAAGGCGGUGACGGGUAGCCGGCCUGAGAGGGUGGGCGGCCACACUGGGACUGAGACACGGCCCAGACUCCUGCGGGAGGCAGCAGUGGGGGGUAUUGCACAAUGGGCGGAAGCCUGGUGCAGCGACGUCGCGUGAGGGAUGGAGGCCUUCGGGUUGUGAACCUCUUUCUCCGGUGGUGAAGGCCCUGUCCGUUGCGGCGGGGUUGACGGUAGCCGGGUAUGAAGCGCCGGCUAACUACGUG